CCAAAUUUUGAGUCAAGAAGACUGGGGUCAAAUCCUGCCUCAGUUAGGUUCCAACUUUCUUCCUCCCUUAAACUCUGAGCUUACAGUUCUUCAUCUGUCAAGCAUGUACGAUGAUAGCAAUGCCUGUAUCUUCAACAGUAUUAUUGCAAAAGUUUCUACAAAGAGAGAGCUCGACAUAUCUAAGCCAUGUGAUGUGAAGAAAAUGGAGAAAACAAACAAAAAUCACCUCUGUUCCAGUUCUGGUUCAGCUUCUGACAGAAGGCCAGGAAACUGAGAAAGAACCAACCCUAAGAAGGAUGAGAGAAGCACAGUCCACCAGGCUAACACUGAGCAGCAAACUUAAAGACCACAAGAAAAACUUUGCUGAUCUCUGGACUACACUAAUUCAGGAAGAAGGGAAGAAUAUUACAACAAAAGCAGGAAAUUACGAAUAAUUAUAAUAUAUUAGACAUCAGAGAGAAAAGCAAUCUACUCGAAGCAAGAUACCC